GCCCGGUUAGCUCAAUCGGUAGAGCGUGAGACUCUUAAUCUCAAGGUUGCGGGUAAGUUAUCAUGUUCAUCGCACGGUUGUGCUCAAUUUAUACUAACAACCUUGCCAGGUUCGACCCCCGCAUCGGGCU